rnacentral:rRNA from 1 species
CAGGCUUAACACAUGCAAGUCGAGCGGACCUUUCGGGGUCAGCGGCGGACGGGUGAGUAACGCGUGGGAACGUGCCUUCCGGUUCGGAAUAACCCUGGGAAACUAGGGCUAAUACCGGAUACGCCCUUAUGGGGAAAGGUUUACUGCCGGAAGAUCGGCCCGCGUCUGAUUAGCUAGUUGGUGGGGUAACGGCCUACCAAGGCGACGAUCAGUAGCUGGUCUGAGAGGAUGAUCAGCCACACUGGGACUGAGACACGGCCCAGACUCCUACGGGAGGCAGCAGUGGGGAAUAUUGGACAAUGGGCGCAAGCCUGAUCCAGCCAUGCCGCGUGAGUGAUGAAGGCCUUAGGGUUGUAAAGCUCUUUUAUCCGGGACGAUAAUGACGGUACCGGAGGAAUAAGCCCCG